rnacentral:rRNA from 1 species
UACGUAGGGUGCGAGCGUUGUCCGGAAUUAUUGGGCGUAAAGGGCUCGUAGGCGGUUUGUCGCGUCGGGAGUGAAAACGCCGUGCUUAACACGGCGCUUGCUUUCGAUACGGGCAGACUAGAGGUAUUCAGGGGAGAACGGAAUUCCUGGUGUAGCGGUGAAAUGCGCAGAUAUCAGGAGGAACACCGGUGGCGAAGGCGGUUCUCUGGGAAUGACCUGACGCUGAGGAGCGAAAGUGUGGGGAGCGAACAGGAUUAGAAACCCCAGUAGUCC